rnacentral:rRNA from 1 species
GACGAACGCUGGCGGCGUGCUUAACACAUGCAAGUCGAACGGAAAGGCCCUGCUUUUGUGGGGUGCUCGAGUGGCGAACGGGUGAGUAACACGUGAGUAACCUGCCCUUGACUUUGGGAUAACUUCAGGAAACUGGGGCUAAUACCGGAUAGGAGCUCCUGCUGCAUGGUGGGGGUUGGAAAGUUUCGGCGGUUGGGGAUGGACUCGCGGCUUAUCAGCUUGUUGGUGGGGUAGUGGCUUACCAAGGCUUUGACGGGUAGCCGGCCUGAGAGGGUGACCGGCCACAUUGGGACGGAGAGACGGCCCAGACGCAUACGGGAGGCAGCAGUGGAGAAUAUUGCACAAUGGGCGGAAGCCUGAUGCAGCAACGCCGCGUGCGGGAUGACGGCCUUCGGGUGGUAAACCGCUUUCGCCUGUGACGAAGCGUGAGGGACGGUAAUGGGUAAAGAAGCACCGGCUAACUACGU